UCCCAGGUGGCUGAAUGGUAAGGAAUCUGCCUGCCAAGCAGGAGACGUGGGUUCAGUCCCUGGAUUGGGAA
rnacentral:tRNA from 1 species